rnacentral:pre_miRNA from 1 species
CGUAUUCACCAUAUGCCUUGAUGUGCUGUUUAUAUCAUAAGGCACGCGGUGAAUGCCAA